UGUGUUAUGUUUUAUUUCCUUUCAAUGGUGUUAGAGAUGAUGUUCUAAUGAAGUAUUUUAGGAAUUCAGAAUGUGGGUGGAGGAGAAAUCUAACAUUAAAGAAACACUUUAUAGAUAAUGAGGUAGUGAAUGCCCCCCAUGGAAAGACCCAAGCAUGACUACUAAGCACAAAACAUGAGGUUACCACACUACAUUAAAUAACAUCAUCUUCUUCAAUUUUCAGAACCAUAUUGGCAAAUCUUUUGGCAAUUUAUCAUCCUUCUUGGAAUUAUGUCAUGCUUGCCCCUGAAUGCCUUGAAGGAUAAAACAAAUUACCUAUUAAUACACUUUCAUAGGAAAUGAGAGCAAACUAGGCCUGAAACAUCAUUCUCUUUACUCUGCUGUGAUUUCAGUACGCAGUGAAGUUCAAAAAUUGCAGCGGUGGCAAACCAGGCCCUCCAGAUGAGGGGGGAGUUAAUUUGUUUAUGAAUCUAUAUUGAUGGAGCUCCUCCAGCAACAAUCUGGCACAGAUUUAUGCAUUUAUCUAAGCUUAUCCAUCGAGCAGAGUAUAUCUCUGCAUAUCUUUGAGUGAUUUAGGCCAUUCCAUUUACUCAAGAUCAGUGGCAUGUCUGAAUGCUGUCUCCACCGCAGCAAGCACAGUGGAAAUGCAGUGCUAUGCAGCCUUUUGAGCCACAACACACAACUUCAUGACAUGAAAUUAACUGGAAACUGCAAACUGGCCACUGAAAAUGCAGUCCCUGGCUGUAUAGUGGUCAUGUCUGAUCAAACAUUGCAGCUCUGUGAUUCCCAAGCUGGAAACAGAUUCUGAGAGCCGAACAAGAACUUUUUGUAGUCUUCUUGCUAUAGUAUUUGCCAACUUAGAAAUUUUCAAUAUGUAUACUUUUCUCAGGAAAUUAAUCUGGGUACUUUAACAUUAUAUAAUAAAUAUUAUAUACCUUAUGUAUUGCAAGAGGUCUAAAAAGAAAUUAUGUUUCCCAUAUUAUUUAUUCACAUUUUGCAGAAGCAAGCAUCAGCCUUAUGAAAAAAAAGCACAAAAAGAGGGAAAAAAAAGGCAUGAAACAUUCUGUCUUUAUUUUGUGGAUAGGGAUUGUAAAUGUCCCUCAGCAAAUGAAUUCACAUCUUUGCCUUUAGUUCCCAGGGAAGAUGGCUGAAGGAGUUUGGUUUCUGGCUGAGAUUCUCUAACACCCUUCAAGACAACACACCCUUCCCAGUAAACAGAGGCUUCUGAAGCACGGUCCUGCAGUGUCUUCCUUGCCCAGAGUUGGUGGCUACUGCUGCUGUCCAAGGAGAGACUGAGA